GUGUAGCUAUUCUUAGUGUGUCCC
rnacentral:siRNA from 1 species